rnacentral:lncRNA from 1 species
UCUUCCUUCUCCGGUCUCUCAGCCUGACGUCUCUGCUUCCAUGGCUGCUGUUUCUCCAGGUACCCCCUGCUUUUUCAACUUGCCAUGUUUCUUUUUAAAAUAAUUGAGUUUUCGUGUCGGUGUUUCACAUUAAAAUUUGUUGGGUUUGUUCAACUCCUCUUCAAAUUUAUUGUUUUUUUUAAUUUGAGUGGAUGCGUCAGCCAUAAAUGACUAAAUGUGGACAUUUAAAAUAUAAUUUCUUCCAUCAAUUUCAUUGGCGGAAUCGGAUGGUCUUCUCUCCCUCAUUUCUUACAGUAAUCAGUUCUUCAAGCCUUAGCUCUGUGAGUUGGAUACCUUUUCUUAUUUAUGGCAACUAUAUAUAUGAAUUUGAGCAGGAAUCCAGUUGCAAUUGGGAGUUGAAGCAGGUGGAAAACUUAUGGAAUUGGACAAGAAAACCCACCUCAUACUUGCUGUUGCUUGCAUUGCCAUGGCUGUUAUUAUCUUUCUCUUUUCAUCUGCUUGCUGCAUUCAUUUC